rnacentral:lncRNA from 1 species
UUAAGGGGGCCCACAACGAUGGUGAGUUGACACAUUCUGUGGAUAAAGCAUGGAGCUGUGAUGAACAUAUUGCACAAGCUUUGUAGUUGUAGGCAGCACAUAAAGAUAGCGCCCCCUCUUCAUGUAGAGCCAUUUUUGACUCUGCUCUCCGGCGGCCAGCUAAUGUCGGGUUGUAAUGGCCCAUAGACACCAGCCAUUGGGUGACUGUUUCUUACCAUGACUUACCCGUGUGCAUAAUAUGCACAACCUUGCUGGUCUGUUAGGGAUUAGUACUAGGAAACGGAGAAGUGGUGGUUUUUAACGCGUCUCAUCACCGCUCUUUUGUUGCUCUUAGGAAGCUUUGUCCGAGGCCCUCCUUGUAAGGUUACCAUAAGCACACCACAGAAAAAAAGGAAAAGAAAGAUGCGAUGGGCAGGAAAAGGUUUUCAUGGCUUCUUUAAAGCUUCACCUGCCAUUUUCAAGUAAAGACAUUAGUGUUGAAGAAGAGGGAAAUAUGUAUGCAUGAAGCACCAUAUUAAGAACAACACAAUUU